rnacentral:rRNA from 1 species
AGUGAACGCUGGCUGUAGGCCUAACACAUGCAAGUCGAACGGCAGCACAGUAAGAGCUUGCUCUUACGGGUGGCGAGUGGCGGACGGGUGAGGAAUACAUCGGAAUCUACUUUUUCGUGGGGGAUAACGUAGGGAAACUUACGCUAAUACCGCAUACGACCUACGGGUGAAAGCAGGGGAUCUUCGGACCUUGCGCGAUUGAAUGAGCCGAUGUCGGAUUAGCUAGUUGGCGGGGUAAAGGCCCACCAAGGCGACGAUCCGUAGCUGGUCUGAGAGGAUGAUCAGCCACACUGGAACUGAGACACGGUCCAGACUCCUACGGGAGGCAGCAGUGGGGAAUAUCGGACAAUGGGCGCAAGCCUGAUCCAGCCAUACCGCGUGGGUGAAGAAGGCCUUCGGGUUGUAAAGCCCUUUUGUUGGGAAAGAAAAGCAGCAGGUUAAUACCCCGCUGUUCUGACGGUACCCAAAGAAUAAGCACCGGCUAACUUCGUG